UAGCUCAAUGGUUAGAGUGUCUGCCUCUCAUGUAGAAAGCCCUGGGUUCAAUCCCCAG
rnacentral:tRNA from 1 species